UGGGGGCCACGGUCCACGUGGUCACGGGACCAGCGCUCACCACCACGUCACAGUCCAACACACGUUCCCACAGGAUGGCCGAGCAAGGACGGGCUGAGUCUAAGAUUCACACACAGGCAGCCCAACACCAGAAUGGCCCCGACAGUUCCCCACGGCGCCCAAGUCGGAGGCUUCUCACUGCAGCCAGCUCUGCCGCGGGAACGGACAGACGCGUGCAGCAGUGGGACGGAGGAAGGUUCCGGAACAGAGCCCGCACACGGCACAGUCACGACGCCGAGGCAACGCUGCGGCCUGCAAAGCUGGUGUUGGGACAGUCGGACACCUGGACACCCACAUACCACAAGGGGAACCUCAAUCCGAGCUUCACACCCCACAGGGAAGGUUACUCAAGCGGACCCCAGACCAAAACGCAAAACAUCGCAGAGGAAAAUCUUUGUGGCUUCGGAUUCAGGAAUGAAUUCUUAGAUAUGACACCAAAAACACCGCUGAAAAAUAACCAGUCAGUGUCUCCUCCUCCAAAUUCAGAACAUCUCUGAGACACCACGUGAAGAGGGGGUGAAAACCUACAUCACAAACUAGGAAAAAGGUGAACACUUCGCAAAUAAAGGGUUUGUAUCCUGAAGACACGAAGAACCCUCACACUCCGUGAGAAAGCAACCAGCCCAUGGCCUCUCGGGGCCUCCGAGGCUGGAAGGCCGAACCCGUCCGUCCCCUCUCCCUGGGCCGUCCUCCCUCCCGUCCGUCCCCUCACCCUGGGCCGUCCUCCCUCCCGUCCGUCCCUUCACCCUGGGCCGUCCUCUCGCCCGUCUGUCCCUUCACCCUGGGCCGUCCUCUCGCCCGUCCGUCCCUUCACCCUGGGCCGUCCUCUCGCCCGUCCGUCCCCUCACCCUGGGCCGUGCCCUCACGGGGCAUCACCUUCAGUCCUCGGCUUGACCAGGUCCAGCAUCUGGCAGAGGCAGUCCUGGAAGGGCAGGGCCUCGAUGGCCAUGCUGUCCAGCCUUCGGCACUGCUCCUCGUAGAAGUACUCGAGCUCGAACAUGGACAGGGCGCCGUCCCCGUCCAGGUCCAUGCAGCGGAACCAGUACUCGAUGCUGCGGCACAGCGAACUCUGUCAGCCCCUGCCCUGGGCCCUCCCAGCCCGUGACCUGCAGCCCCUGGGGCAGCCCCCCACCGGGCGCGCACACGUUCCCCCUGUGCCUUGCAGCCCCCACCGGGCACGCACGCGUCCCCGUCCCCUGCAGCCCCCACAGGGCGCACACGCGUCCCUGUCCCCUGCAGCCCCCACCGGGCGUGCACGCGUCCCCCUGUGCCGUGCAGCCCCCAGCAGGCGUGCAGGCAUCCGCCUGGGGACACAUGUCACAUGGGCGGCUCCCGGCCCCUCCACCGGGACAAACGCACGCCGCAGCAGGAACCCACCUGGUCGGUGUUUUUUUGUCUUCCUCAGAGAUCAAAAACCAGACAAAGACGGCAUAGCUGAUCUUCCCUUCCUUCUGCACUUUUCUGCCUCUAGAUCCAAAGCCAGGAUGGAGAGACGAUGAUGCAUGUCAGGGAGAGCUUCACAGAAACGGAGCCCCUGCCCACGCGCCUUGGUGAGGGGAGCCCCCCGGGCCCGGCCGUCCUCCUGCCCCUCCUCCUGCCCCUCCAGGGAGGAGGUGGAGGCCCCAUGGCCAGAGGGUUUCCCCCAGAUCCAGGUGGGGUCAGGAGUGCACCUUCGUUACUGCUCAC
rnacentral:lncRNA from 1 species